rnacentral:rRNA from 1 species
CUUGCUUCUCUUGAGAGCGGCGGACGGGUGAGUAAUGCCUAGGAAUCUGCCUGGUAGUGGGGGAUAACGUUCGGAAACGGACGCUAAUACCGCAUACGUCCUACGGGAGAAAGCAGGGGACCUUCGGGCCUUGCGCUAUCAGAUGAGCCUAGGUCGGAUUAGCUAGUUGGUGGGGUAAUGGCUCACCAAGGCGACGAUCCGUAACUGGUCUGAGAGGAUGAUCAGUCACACUGGAACUGAGACACGGUCCAGACUCCUACGGGAGGCAGCAGUGGGGAAUAUUGGACAAUGGGCGAAAGCCUGAUCCAGCCAUGCCGCGUGUGUGAAGAAGGUCUUCGGAUUGUAAAGCACUUUAAGUUGGGAGGAAGGGUUGUAGAUUAAUACUCUGCAAUUUUGACGUUACCGACAGAAUAAGCACCGGCUAACCCUGUGCCAGCAGCCGCGGUAAUACAGAGGGUGCAAGCGUUAAUCGGAAUUACUGGGCGUAAAGCGCGCGUA